rnacentral:rRNA from 1 species
GACGAACGCUGGCGGCGUGCCUAAUACAUGCAAGUUGAGCGCUGAAGGUUGGUACUUGUACCAACUGGAUGAGCAGCGCACGGGUGAGUAACGCGUGGGGAAUCUGCCUUUGAGCGGGGGACAACAUUUGGAAACGAAUGCUAAUACCGCAUAAAAACUUUAAACACAAGUUUUAAGUUUGAAAGAUGCAAUUGCAUCACUCAAAGAUGAUCCCGCGUUGUAUUGGCUAGUUGGUGAGGUAAAGACUCACCAAGGCGAUGAUACAUAGCCGACCUGAGAGGGUGAUCGGCCACAUUGGGACUGAGACACGGCCCAAACUCCUACGGGAGGCAGCAGUAGGGAAUCUUCGGCAAUGGACGAAAGUCUGACCGAGCAACGCCGCGUGAGUGAAGAAGGUUGUCGGAUCGUAAAACUCGGUUGGUAGAGAAGAACGUUGGUGAGAGUGGAAAGCUCAUCAAGUGACGGUAACUACCCAGAAAGGGACGGCUAACUACGUG